rnacentral:ncRNA from 1 species
CAUAGGCUUGGUCCCGGCCUUUCUAUUAGUUACCAGCAAAACUACACAUGCAAGUAUCCGCCCCCCAGUGAGAAUGCCCUACAAAACACCCAGUGACUGUAAGGAGCGGGUAUCAAGCACGCCCUUAAGGCAGCUCAUGACACCUUGCUUAGCCACGCCCCCACGGGAAACAGCAGUGAUAAAAAUUAAGCAAUAAACGAAAGUUUGACUAAGUUAUGCUAUUAAGAGUUGGUAAAUUUCGUGCCAGCCACCGCGGUCAUACGACUAACUCUAAUUAAUAGACAUACGGCGUAAAGCGUGUUUAAGAUUACUCUUUUCGAUAAAGCCGAACCCUAGCUAAGCUGUAAAAAGCCCUAGCUACUGGAAGAUCCACUACGAAAGUGACUUUAAAGCAGCUGAAGACACGACAGCUGAGACCCAAACUGGGAUUAGAUACCCCACUAUGCUCAGCCUUAAACCCAAAAAAUUAGCACAACAAAAAUUUUCGCCAGAGUACUACCAGCCAAAGCUUAAAACUCAAAGGACUUGGCGGUGCUUCAUAUCCCUCUAGAGGAGCCUGUUCUAUAAUCGAUAAACCCCGAUAAACCCCACCAACCCUCGCUAAUUCAGCCUAUAUACCGCCAUCUCCAGCAAACCCUAAAAAGGAACCACAGUAAGCUCAAUCAUGACACAUAAAGACGUUAGGUCAAGGUGUAGCCUAUGGGUUGGAAAGUAAUGGGCUACAUUCCCUAGCACCUAGGUUAUUCCCAUACGAAAACCUCUAUGAAAUUAGAGGUCAAAGGUGGAUUUAGCAGUAAAUCAAGAAUAGAGCGCUUGAUUGAACAAGGCCCUGAAGCACGCACACACCGCCCGUCACCCUCCUCAAAUACCAACGGUGAGCCCUCAACCCUAUUAACAAAACACCAUAACUACUAGAGGAGACAAGUCGUAACAAGGUAAGCGUACUGGAAAGUGCGCUUGGACAACC